AGAAUCAACGCUGGCGGCGUGCCUAACACAUGCAAGUCGAACGAGAAAGUGGAGCAAUCCAUGAGUAAAGUGGCGCACGGGUGAGUAACACGUGACUAACCUACCCUUGAGUGGGGGAUAACCUAGGGAAACCUGGGCUAAUACCGCAUAAUACCUUCGGGUCAAAGGAGCAAUUCGCUUUAGGAGGGGGUCGCGGCCGAUUAGUUAGUUGGCGGGGUAAUGGCCCACCAAGACUGUGAUCGGUAUCCGGCCUGAGAGGGCGCACGGACACACUGGAACUGAAACACGGUCCAGACUCCUACGGGAGGCAGCAGUGGGGAAUUUUGCGCAAUGGGGGAAACCCUGACGCAGCAACGCCGCGUGGAGGAUGAAGCCCCUUGGGGCGUAAACUCCUUUCGAUCGGGACGAUAAUGACGGUACCGAGAGAAGAAGCCCCGGCUAACUUCGUGCCAGCAGCCGC
rnacentral:rRNA from 1 species